rfam:Triticum aestivum genome assembly, contig: Triticum_aestivum_CS42_TGACv1_scaffold_225367_3B
CAACUACUCCCUGCAUUCGGAAAUACUUUGUUAUUAAAAUGGAUAAAAGGGGAUGUAUCUAGAAUCUAGAUGUAUUUUAGUUCUAGAUACAUCUCUUUUUAUACAUUUUGAUGACAAGUAUUUUCGGGCGGAGGGAGUAUUAG